GGUUCUAUGGUGUAAUAGUUAGCACUCUGGACUUUGAAUGCAGCGGUCCGAGUUCAAAUCUCGGUAGGACUU
rnacentral:tRNA from 1 species